UACAGAGGUCUCAAGCGUUGUUCGGAUUCAUUGGGCGUAAAGGGUGUGUAGGUGGCGCGCUAAGUCGGGUGUGAAAUUUCGGAGCUUAACUCCGAAACUGCAUUCGAUACUGGCGUGCUUGAGGACUGGAGAGGAGACUGGAAUUUACGGUGUAGCAGUGAAAUGCGUAGAUAUCGUAAGGAAGACCAGUGGCGAAGGCGGGUCUCUGGACAGUUCCUGACACUGAGGCACGAAGGCCAGGGGAGCAAACGGG
rnacentral:rRNA from 1 species